rnacentral:tRNA from 1 species
GCCAGUGUGGCAUAGUGGUUUGAGUGUUGGACUAUGACUCUGGAAACCAAGGUUCAAUUCCCAGCAUGACG